GAUGAACGCUAGCUACAGGCUUAACACAUGCAAGUCGCGGGGCAGCAUGGGGGUUGCUUGCAAUCCCCGAUGGCGACCGGCGCACGGGUGAGUAACGCGUAUCCAACCUGCCCUUCACCACGGGAUAACCCGGCGAAAGUCGGACUAAUACCGUAUGUUGUCCAUUGACGGCAUCCGUUUUGGACGAAAGGCUUGGCGGUGAGGGAUGGGGAUGCGUCCGAUUAGCCAGACGGCGGGGUAACGGCCCACCGUGGCUACGAUCGGUAGGGGUUCUGAGAGGAAGGUCCCCCACACUGGAACUGAGACACGGUCCAGACUCCUACGGGAGGCAGCAGUGAGGAAUAUUGGUCAAUGGGCGUAAGCCUGAACCAGCCAAGUAGCGUGCAGGAUGACGGCCCUAUGGGUUGUAAACUGCUUUUAUGCGGGGAUAAAGUGGCCCACGUGUGGGCUUUUGCAGGUACCGCAUGAAUAAGGACCGGCUAAUUCCGUG
rnacentral:rRNA from 1 species